UUGCUGGGAUCGUGCAUUGAACACACAGUGGUGGAGUAACUCAGCAGGUCAGUCAGCAUCUCUGGAGGAUAUGGAUAGGUGACAUUUCAAGUCAAUACUCUUCUUCAGACUGCUGCUCUC